GACGAACGCUGGCGGCGUGCUUAACACAUGCAAGUCGAGCGGUAAGGCCCUUUCGGGGGUACACGAGCGGCGAACGGGUGAGUAACACGUGGGUGACCUGCCCUCAGCUCUGGGAUAAGCCUGGGAAACCGGGUCUAAUACUGGAUAUGACUCCAUGACGCAUGUUGUGGGGUGGAAAGCCUUGUGCGGCUGAGGAUGGGCCCGCGGCCUAUCAGCUUGUUGGUGGGGUGAUGGCCUACCAAGGCGACGACGGGUAGCCGGCCUGAGAGGGCGACCGGCCACACUGGGACUGCGACACGGCCCAGACUCCUACGGGAGGCAGCAGUGGGGAAUCUUGCGCAAUGGGCGAAAGCCUGACGCAGCGACGCCGCGUGAGGGAUGACGGCCUGGU
rnacentral:rRNA from 1 species